CAGUUUUGAAGUCAGUCCGCGUGUUCUGCCCCUGAGUGCCGUUCUCCUGGCGCGUCCCUAAGCCGCAGGUGUCUCCUCCCUCGCCCGCGGUGAUGCGCCCGCCUUGCCUCGCUUGCCGCUCCCAGCGCAGCGAGGCGUUUU
rnacentral:sRNA from 1 species